UGUUCUUUCAGCGUAGCUGGUGCCGGUUUAAAAACCGGAGAAUAGGGAACUGCGUGAAAAUCGCAGACUGUACCCGCAACUGUAUAACGGUAAGCCACGAAAUCCCUGCAUGGCCACAUGCAUCGGUUUCAGGGUUCGUUCCAGGUCACUGCAUCGUUUUCCACCUCGGAAAACAGCGGGAAGGCCGGAAUGGAAGUAAGCCGUCAAAGUCAGGAGACCUGCCAUCUACCAUUUGCAUAA
rnacentral:ncRNA from 2 species